rnacentral:rRNA from 1 species
CGCGCAGGCGGUCUUGUCCGUCAGGUGUGAAAGCUCGGGGCUCAACCCCGGAAGUGCACUUGAAACAGCAAGACUUGAAUACGGGAGAGGGAAGCGGAAUUCCUGGUGUAGAGGUGAAAUUCGUAGAUAUCAGGAGGAACACCGAUGGCGAAGGCAGCUUUCUGGACCGAUAUUGACGCUGAGGCGCGAAGGCGUGGGUAGCGAACG